GUGAGGAAUAUUGCGCAAUGGAGGCAACUCUGACGCAGCCAUGCCGCGUGCAGGAAGAAGGCGCUACGCGUUGUAAACUGCUUUUAACCGGGAAGAAACCCCAGGACGUGUCCUGGGUUGACGGUACCGGAGGAAUAAGCACCGGCUAACUUCGUGCCAGCAGCCGCGGUAAUACGAAGGGUGCAAGCGUUAUCCGGAUUCAUUGGGUUUAAAGGGUGCGUAGGCGGAGCGUUAAGUCAGUGGUGAAAUCCUGCAGCUUAACUGUAGACUUGCCAUUGAUACUGGCGCUCUUGAGUGCGCUUGAAGUGGGCGGAAUGUGCCGUGUAGCGGUGAAAUGCUUAGAUAUGGCACAGAACACCAAUUGCGAAGGCAGCUCACUAAGGCGAUACUGACGCUGAGGCACGAAAGCGUGGGGAUCAAACAGGAUUAGAAACCCCGGUAGUCC
rnacentral:rRNA from 1 species